rnacentral:rRNA from 1 species
UGGGGAAUAUUGCACAAUGGGCGCAAGCCUGAUGCAGCGACGCCGCGUGCGGGAUGACGGCCUUCGGGUUGUAAACCGCUUUUGAUCGGGAGCAAGCCUUCGGGUGAGUGUACCUUUCGAAUAAGCACCGGCUAACUACGUGCCAGCAGCCGCGGUAAUACGUAGGGUGCAAGCGUUAUCCGGAAUUAUUGGGCGUAAAGGGCUCGUAGGCGGUUCGUCGCGUCCGGUGUGAAAGUCCAUCGCUUAACGGUGGAUCUGCGCCGGGUACGGGCGGGCUGGAGUGCGGUAGGGGAGACUGGAAUUCCCGGUGUAACGGUGGAAUGUGUAGAUAUCGGGAAGAACACCAAUGGCGAAGGCAGGUCUCUGGGCCGUUACUGACGCUGAGGAGCGAAAGCGUGGGGAGCGAACAGGAUUAGAUACCCUGGUAGUCCACGCCGUAAACGGUGGAUGCUGGAUGUGGGGCCCGUUCCACGGGUUCCGUGUCGGAGCUAACGCGUUAAGCAUCCCGCCUGGGGAGUACGGCCGCAAGGCUAAAACUCAAAGAAAUUGACGGGGGCCCGCACAAGCGGCGGAGCAUGCGGAUUAAUUCGAUGCAACGCGAAGAACCUUACCUGGGCUUGACAUGUUCCCGACCGCUCCAGAGAUGGGGCUUCCCUUCGGGGCGGGUUCACAGGUGGUGCAUGGUCGUCGUCAGCUCGUGUCGUGAGAUGUUGGGUUAAGUCCCGCAACGAGCGCAACCCUCGCCCUGUGUUGCCAGCACGUCAUGGUGGGAACUCACGGGGGACCGCCGGGGUCAACUCGGAGGAAGGUGGGGAUGACGUCAGAUCAUCAUGCCCCUUACGUCCAGGGCUUCACGCAUGCUACAAUGGCCGGUACAACGGGAUGCGACACGGCGACGUGGAGCGGAUCCCUGAAAACCGGUCUCAGUUCGGAUUGGAGUCUGCAACCCGACUCCAUGAAGGCGGAGUCGCUAGUAAUCGCGGAUCAGCAACGCCGCGGUGAAUGCGUUCCC